GGAGCUCGUGGCCGACCGGGCGACGCGCGAGCCCGUGGCGCCCGCGGUCGUCGCCCGGGCGAAGGGCGAGCUCGCCGCGCGCGGGCUGCUC
rnacentral:tRNA from 1 species